AUGCUGCUGCUGGCAGCACUUGUGGCCACCACCACUUGGUCUGAUGGAUUUGCACAGGAAAUUCCCAUACAGAGCCCUAUAUCCAUCACCAAGUUCAAGAAAACUGCACGGAUGUAUUGUGAAAUCAAAAACUUACCAACAAGUUUUGACAGUACUGUCAUACACUGGUAUAAACGGAAGGAGAAUGAAGCUCCAGAGAGGCUACUGUUCUUUACAGAAGGGAAAACUUCAGUGGAAAGUGGCUUUCAAAAAGACAGGUACAGAGCUGAAAGGGUUUCUGACCAGAAUCGGUGUGUUCUUAUGAUAAAGGAUGUCAUUCCAGACGAUGCUGGCAUGUACUACUGCGCCUACUGGGACCCUCACAAUGGUAGAAACUCAGGGACCAUCAAGGCACAAAACUCCCCCAACGUCUGA